rnacentral:lncRNA from 1 species
AAUUGUAAACUAAGCACAUGCAUUAAUUUCUUUUUCACAGGAAGCCUAAAAAAUAAGACUGGAUUACCAAGCAUCCCUCAUGACACAACAUGAGAGACACCCCAUAAUGGAAGAGAUUUCUGCAUGGCACAGUGCAAACAAAGGACAUUAGAUUUAGAAUCUCAGAACCUGGUUUCAUCAGAUUACAAAUGGGAUCCUUGUCACAAAAAAGCUGCUUUAGCUAAAGUCCUUUGGAAUCUCAGGAACAAAAUGCUCAGUUGCCAGUUAGAGGCUCAGAGGUCAUCACAUUCUCAAGGUGCCCCACACAGGUUCUGUGUUUAUCUCUCAAAAAGAAGAUGUUUUCCAUUUUAUAGGCAAUAUGUUUAUGCUGGCGAUGUGACCCUCAUCACAAGGCUGAUGUUUGUGGAUCUGAACCUUCAGGGACUCCACAGAGGGAUUGCUUUGUCAGUGUUCUCAGCUCAUCCUUUCCAUACAGAUGAAUUUAUAAGAAGCCUGUCACAAGAUCAUUGGGGCCAGCUCAUUUUCUGGGUCUUCCUUCCUGGAAUGAUUUGGGACCUGAGGGUAGUUAGAAAUCAGGAAAUAAUACAUUUUAUUCUAUGUUAUAAUUAAAGACCUGUUAGGUUCUUCCAUUUGUUCCUUCUUCCCUUCCCUCUGUUCUCCCCUCAAGUUCCACAAUCAGCUGACUUAGGAUGCAAUCUGGUACAGUGGAAGGAGCUCUUCUAGUUCUAAAGUCAGGAGAGACCUAAGUUUUAACCCCACUCUAACAUUUAGAGCGUUGAGACCAUAGUCAUCUACUUAACCUUUUACAGCCUUAGUUUCUCCAUUUACAAAAUGAAGCUAAUACCUGUGCUUUGAAUCUCACAGGGGUUCAAAUGAGAUAAUAUAUGAAAACAUCUUGCAAAUCUAAAAGGACUAGAUGAAUGAUACUGUUGUUAUUGUUCUCAACACUGAGAGGCAGCAGUAUAAUGGAUCGAGAACUGACCUCAGCGUCAAAAAGACCUGGAAUCUCUUUCAAAUCUCACCUUAGACAUAACCUAUGUGACCCUUGGUAAAUUACUUAAUCUGAGAGAGUGACAUUAGUGAAACUAGAAGUCUUGACUCCUUAGAACAAAGCUCUUUAAACUGUGGGUCAUGACAGUUUAAAAUGAGUGUGGGGGACUUAACACUAUACACCAAGAUAAGGUCAAAAUGGGUUCAUGACCUAGGCAUAAAGAAUGAGAUUACAAAUAAAUUAGAGGAACACAUGAUAGUUAACCUCUCAGACCUGUGGAAGAGGAAGGAAUUUAUGACCAAAGAAGAACUAGAGAUCAUUACUGAUCACAAAAUUGAAAAUUUUGAUUAUAUCAAAUUGAAAAGUUUUUGUACAAACAAAACUAAUGCAGGCAAGAUUAGAAGGGAA